rnacentral:misc_RNA from 1 species
GUGAGUCAUCGAAUCUUUGAACGCACAUUGCGCCCCUUGGUAUUCCAUGGGGCAUGCCUGUUCGAGCGUCAUCUACACCCUCAAGCUCUGCUUGGUGUUGGGCGUCUGUCCCGCCUCCGCGCGUGGACUCGCCCCAAAUUCAUUGGCAGCGGUCUUCUUGCCCCCUCUCGCGCAGCACAUUGCGCUUCUCGAGGGCGGCGGGCCGCGUCCACGAAGCAACAUUCACCGUCUUUGACCUCGGAUCAGGUAGGGAUACCCGCUGAACUUAAGCAUAUCAAUAAGCGGAGGA